UUUCAACUUCAGCUAUUCCACCUGUAGGGACCGCAUUAUCCUCAUAAUUAAUCAGUCUGAAAUGAACUAUAUUUAAAAUGGCUACUUAAGUUGCUCUUUUAAGAAACAGAACAUAAUUAUUUUCAUGACACACCUUCCUGACAGUGAGUCAAAGCCACAGAUGAAACCUAUGUUUUUAUAAUAAAUGCAUUGCUUGUGAAGUUGUGUUUUGAAUACAGUUCUCAGCAAGAAUAAAACCUUAAUGAGUGGAGUUAUGUCUGAAUGGAGAUAUUGUUUUUCCAGCACAUUUUGGCAAAUAGCAGUUGCAACUGAAGAGCUAAUUCAGCAAUGUGGGAAUUCCGGGAACUAUGGGGAAAUAUAUUCACAGAGAGGGGGUGUAAGGUGCUGGAUGAAAGUUGAUUCUCUAGAACAUGUUGGGAAGAGCAGUGGAACUUUGGCUAAGGAUUUGCGCCUGUGGCUGGAAGAUUGAUGGUUCAAAAUGGACCAGUUGCUGGUCCACGGCUGGCAGAGGAAUCCUACUCCGUUGGGCCCCUGAGCAAGGCCCUUAACCCCGGCUGCUUCAGGGAUGCAGUGUAAAUGGCUGACACUGCAUCUGACCCCAGGUUUCUCUCUCCCUGUCUGUGUGCCUGCAUGUCUCAUGGAGAGCAAGCUGGGGUAUUCGAAAAGACAAAUUUCUAAUGCAAGAAAUUGUACUGUAUAUGGCUAAUAAAGUGAUCUUAUCUUUAUUUUACAUACAUAUUUUGCCUUCAUAAAACACGCUCUAUAAGCAAACAAAAUAUCAUAAAUUGUUUUUUGCAUUAUUUUGUUA
rnacentral:lncRNA from 1 species